UACAGAGGGUGCGAGCGUUGUCCGGAAUCACUGGGCGUAAAGGGCGCGUAGGCGGUUCGCUAAGUGUGUGGUGAAAGCUCGGGGGCUCAACCCCGAGUCGGCCGUGCAAACUGGGGGACUGGAGCAUGUCAGAGGCAGGCGGAAUUCCGGGUGUUAGCGGUGGAAUGCGUAGAGAUCCGGAAGAACACCGGUGGCGAAGGCGGCCUGCUGGGACAUGGCUGACGCUGAGACGCGAAGCGUGGGGAGCAAACAGG
rnacentral:rRNA from 1 species